CGGGCAUCCUUGUAGCAGACGGGAAGUUAAUCGGGGCGCCGAAGGGCUGGCGUAAAGGAGUCAACCUUGCACCCAGGGGUGCUGCGGUGACGGGUGAUGGUUUCCCAGGUGAACGGGGCACCGAGGGUGGCAGACAGAAGCUAAAGGGGGUGCACAAAGUUGGGGCAAGUUGACACCCAAUGGCGGGGGGUGGAUCAGAUCGGGGCGUAAAGGAGCCAAGCUUGCACCCAGGGGAGCUGCUGCGGCGAAGGGCGGCGGUGCCAAGGCGGAGGUGACACCCAAGGGUGGGGGAUGCGAGGCCGACUGGGCACCACUGGGUGGCACCAAGGAG